rnacentral:pre_miRNA from 1 species
UGGCAGUGCAUGUUAGCUGGCUGUUGUCCCUUAUGUGUCCACAGCUGCUAUCUGCACUCCAUA